rnacentral:rRNA from 1 species
AUUGAACGCUGGCGGCAGGCCUAACACAUGCAAGUAGAGCGGAGCGGCGGACGGGUGAGUAAUCCAUAGCAAUCUGCCUGGUAGUGGGGGAUAACGUCCGGAAACGGGCGCUUAUAACGCAUACUAUAAAAGGAGACUAGUUCGAAUUGGCUAGUUGGUGGGGUAGAGGCCUACCAAGGCGACCAACCGUAACUGGUCUGAGAGGAUGAUCAGUCACACUGUGACUGAGACACGGGCCAGGCUCCUACGGGAAGCAGCAGUGGGGAAUAUUCGACAAUGGGCGAAAGCCUGAUCCAGCCAUGCCGCGUGUGUGAAGAAGGUCUUCGGAUUGUAAAGCACUUUAAGUUGGGAAGCGUUACCAACAGAAUAAGCACCUGCUAACUUCGUGCCAGCAGCCGCGGUAAUAC